GGCACAGUGGCCGAGUGGUCUAAGGCGCUGCGUUCAGGUCGCAGUCUGGUUUUCCAGGCGGGAGUUCAAAUCUCCCCUGUGUCA